rnacentral:rRNA from 1 species
UACAGAGGUCUCAAGCGUUGUUCGGAUUCAUUGGGCGUAAAGGGUGCGUAGGUGGCCAGGUAAGUCGGGUGUGAAAUCCCGGGGCUCAACCCUGGAACUGCACUCGAUACUGCCAUGCUCGAGUACUGGAGAGGAGACUGGAAUUUACGGUGUAGCAGUGAAAUGCGUAGAUAUCGUAAGGAAGACCAGUGGCGAAGGCGAGUCUCUGGACAGUUACUGACACUGAGGCACGAAGGCCAGGGGAGCAAACGGG